rnacentral:miRNA from 1 species
UAAAAAUUAAGGUUAAACCGUCAG